rnacentral:misc_RNA from 1 species
GAUGAAGAACGCAGUGAAAUGCGAUAAGUAGUGUGAAUUGCAGAAUUCAGUGAAUCAUCGAAUCUUUGAACGCACAUUGCGCCCCUUGGUAUUCCAUGGGGCAUGCCUGUUCGAGCGUCAUUUGUACCUUCAAGCUCUGCUUGGUGUUGGGUGUUUGUCUCGCUUCUGCGUGUAGACUCGCCUCAAAACAAUUGGCAGCCGGCGUAUUGAUUUCGGAGCGCAGUACAUCUCGCGCUUUGCACUCAUAACGACGACGUCCAAAAGUACAUUUUUACACUCUUGACCUCGGAUCAGGUAGGGAUACCCGCUGAACUUAAGCAUAUCAAUAAGCGGAGGA